UAGGCUAACUGUUUAAGUCAGGGAGUGAUCUGGGUGAAAUUUACGAACAUGAUCACUAUUAUUGGAUUGUUGGCUACACAUCAUCAACUUCCCAAGCAAACUUAGCAACUCGUCAUAAACAGAUGUCACAUUAUUUUGGCCAUACUUUUCACAGAAUGAAACAUUCCAUUAUUAUAAUGAAUUAAUGUAUGCAUUUAUUUUAGAACGUAUUCGAUGCUCGUAUUAUUUUUGUACAGGUGCUGUCCUGAUUUGAUAAGAACACCUGAGUCUUGAACGGAAUAAGAAUCCACUUAUCCCCUCCCCGACCUCCUGUUCCUUACCCUCUCUGAAACACAUCUCCCACCAUGAAUGAAGUUAAUAUAAUCAGAGAGGGAUGGCUUCACAAAAGAGGUGAAUAUAUCAAAACAUGGAGGCCCAGGUACUUCAUCCUAAAAAAUGACGGUUCCUUCAUUGGCCACAAAGAGAAGCCUGAUCUUAACGACCAGACUUCACCACCCCUCAACAACUUCUCAGUUGCAGAGUGUCAGUUAAUGAAGACUGAAAGACCCCGGCCUAACACAUUUGUAAUCCGUUGCCUACAGUGGACCACUGUCAUUGAACGCACCUUUCACGUGGACAGUAAUGAGGAGAGAGAGGAGUGGAUGCGUGCAAUCCAGUCGGUAGCAAAUAGUCUCAAGAUGCGAGAACAGGAGGAGGAGGAACCGAUGGAUCUGUUCGGCUCUCCCAGUGAAUGCAGCCUGGAGGAUAUGGAGAUGUCUCUGACCAAGAAUGGCUCCAAAGUGACGAUGAGUGAUUUUGAGUACCUGAAGCUUCUUGGAAAGGGGACGUUUGGGAAGGUGAUUCUGGUGAAAGAGAAGUCUACCGGUGUACAUUAUGCCAUGAAAAUACUGCGCAAAGAGGUCAUCAUUGCCAAGGAUGAAGUGGCACAUACAGUUACAGAAAGCAGGGUGUUACAAAACACACGACACCCCUUCCUCACGGUAAGGACCUUCAGGAUCACAUAUGACACAAUGAAUAAAGCAUGUAAAGGCACUGCUUUCUCAGAAAGGGCAGCCAGCACUCACUUGAGAUGUUCUUCCUCAUCAGCCCAAUUGUCCUCAGACACUGAAGUAUGCCUUCCAAACUCACGAUCGACUUUGUUUUGUUAUGGAAUAUGCCAACGGAGGAGAGCUCUUCUUCCACCUGUCCCGGGAGAGAGUGUUCACAGAAGACCGGGCGCGCUUCUACGGUGCUGAGAUUGUGUCGGCACUCGAGUACCUCCAUUCACGUGAUGUUGUUUAUCGUGAUCUAAAGCUGGAGAAUCUGAUGCUGGAUAAAGACGGCCAUGUAAAAAUCACUGAUUUUGGCCUUUGUAAGGAGGGCAUUACCCCUGAUGCUACCAUGAAAACCUUCUGUGGUACUCCUGAAUAUCUGGCUCCUGAGGU